ACUCUGGACAUUCACCCUGGGCUUUGGUAUGUUUCUCUUUGGAAUCCAGUUGCUGGCACUCUCUUGUGGGAGGUUCUCUAAUGCUGGUUUUGAGGAUUUUAUAGAACUACUUGGAACCAUUCUGAUCACAAGACUGUAGAGAUGAGUGGGGACAAUAUCAAAAUACCAAUGACAUAGACCACUGAACCAUCUGCUCCCAUUGGCCAACCAAGACAUCCAUUGGCCAUUUCCACACUGCACACAGCCACCUG